CUUCGAGUCCAGUUAAAUUGUGGCAGCUUUCAGGAAGCUAAUUUCGCCGAUUCAUUAAAAUAAUCGACUUUUAACAGAUACUGUGACGCACGCAAAGAUGUAGAUGGCCUACUCUGCCUACAGAGAAUUUACACUCUGGCAGAGGAGACAGGAUGUGUACACCACUGGUGAAAAUACUGGACACAAUACGACUGGAAGCUGCAUGAGGACAGGGAACAUGUCUGGUUCUGCUCACCAUAAAAUCCCCAGCAGCUGCAAACUCAGAUGGAGAUGACCAGCAAGUGACAGACCUGUUCAGCAAGCAAACAUAUUAUUUUGCACAUGACUUCCCUUGAAUAAAUGUGAGCCUCCACUCUGCAAUCCUUGCCGGAGACCAAGUGGUUUUAAAAUAGAGACAGAUGUGUGAUACCACGCAUUGGCUUGUAACACCCGUAUCUUAUACAAAUGGCCACACUGUAGUCCCAGGGUCUGCAGAACAGACCAAGACUCCUUAGUAAUCGAUCACAUCACUA
rnacentral:lncRNA from 10 species